AGUUUUCAUAGAAUUGUACCUUAUGGGAUCUUGUGGGAUUUGCAUGGUAACCACUAAUAUUUCAUCUGCAGACCAUGAAUUUCUUCAACCUUGGAUCAAAACUCUCUGUUGUUGAUUUGCCUGGAUAUAGCUCUGGUUAUGGGAAGACAGAAGUUAAGGAUGCUUGGGAGGAGCUUGUGAGUAUGCGGUUGCAGGGAAAGAACUCCUUGCUUGGAGCAUUGGAAUUACCUUCAAAGAGGCAGCCUACCUAGGUACACCCCAAUACUAUACAUUUACUCAUCUAUUUAUGGCAUAAAAAUUUAUUUGCAGAUAAGUACAUGAUCAUUUCAUUCUUUAAUCACUUCAAGACGGUAGUAAAAAACUUAAUUUGUAGAAAAGUACAUGAAUUUUUCAUAGUUUAAUCAAUUCUUUAAUCUGUUCUCAUGUAAUUGAAAAGAACACCUCUUUUUUAGCAGGUGCCUGCAAAAGAUGUGCAAAUUUUAUAUAAUGAGGAAGUUAAAUAGUUGUAUGUAUAAAACCAUGAAGAGUUAAGAUAUGUAUAUGAAUAUAUAUGAUGAUAAGUAACAAGAGUUGCCAUUAAUUCAUCCAAUUGUUGCCCAAAAGGUAAGCAGGAAAACAAGCAGCCAACCCAUUUACUCUUCUGGGGAUGUUCUGACUCAUCCCUGUUGGGCAUGUCUUGUGUUAAAGACUUUCAUGUUUGUCAGGGGCCGCAGAGUGGAAAUUUUUGGUUGGACUGAUGUUAUUUUUCCCUUUUUCCUUUUACAGUUAUAUGGUUUUUAUUCUUUUUUUUUUUUGUUUUUUGUUUUUCUUUUUUGGUAAGAUCAUUAAUGGACUAAUAGCUUCUGUAAUGGAGUCAAGAAGGCACUUGUAAAGGGAGA